UACGUAGGGAGCAAGCGUUGUCCGGAAUCAUUGGGCGUAAAGCGCGCGUAGGUGGCCCUGUAAGUCCGUUGUGAAAGUCAAAGGCUCAACCUUUGAAAGCCGAUGGAUACUGCCGGGCUAGAGUACGGAAGAGGCGAGUAGAAUUCCUGGUGUAGCGGUGGAAUGCGCAGAUAUCAGGAGGAACACCAGUGGCGAAGGCGGUGCUCUGGGCCGGAACUGACGCUGAGGAGCGAAAGCGUGGGGAGCAAACGGG
rnacentral:rRNA from 1 species